rnacentral:rRNA from 1 species
GACGAACGCUGGCGGCGUGCUUAACACAUGCAAGUCGAACGAUGAUCCGGUGCUUGCACCGGGGAUUAGUGGCGAACGGGUGAGUAACACGUGAGUAACCUGCCCUUGACUCUGGGAUAAGCCUGGGAAACUGGGUCUAAUACCGGAUAUGACUCCUCAUCGCAUGGUGGGGGGUGGAAAGCUUUUUGUGGUUUUGGAUG